rnacentral:rRNA from 1 species
UACAGAGGGGGCAAGCGUUGUUCGGAAUUACUGGGCGUAAAGGGCGCGUAGGCGGCCCUCUAAGUCGAACGUGAAAUCCCUGGGCUCAACCCAGGAACUGCGUCCGAGACUGGGGGGCUAGAAUCCGGGAGAGGGAUGUGGAAUUCCAGGUGUAGCGGUGAAAUGCGUAGAUAUCUGGAGGAACACCGGUGGCGAAGGCGGCAUCCUGGACCAAUACUGACGCUGAGGAGCGAAAGCCAGGGGAGCAAACGGG